rnacentral:rRNA from 1 species
GACGUAGGGGGCCAGCGUUGUUCGGAAUUACUGGGUGUAAAGGGUUCGUAGGCGGUGCGGCAAGUUGGGAGUGAAAUCUCUGGGCUUAACCCAGAGGCUGCUUCCAAAACUGCUGUGCUUGAGUGUGGGAGAGGCGCGUGGAAUUGCAGGUGUAGCGGUGAAAUGCGUAGAUAUCUGCAGGAACACCCGUGGCGAAGGCGGCUCUCUGGGUCGUACCUGACGCUGAGGCGCGAAAGCGUGGGGAGCGAACGGG